GGGUCUCUCGUCUACUGGCUAAGACUCCUGGCUUUUACCCUUGAAAACGGGGAUCGAUACCCCGGGGACCCAC
rnacentral:tRNA from 1 species